rnacentral:rRNA from 1 species
UGGGGAAUAUUGCACAAUGGGCGCAAGCCUGAUGCAGCCAUGCCGCGUGUAUGAAGAAGGCCUUCGGGUUGUAAAGUACUUUCAGUCGGGAGGAAGGUGGUAAGGUUAAUAACCUUAUCAAUUGACGUUACCGACAGAAGAAGCACCGGCUAACUCCGUGCCAGCAGCCGCGGUAAUACGGAGGGUGCAAGCGUUAAUCGGAAUUACUGGGCGUAAAGCGCACGCAGGCGGUUGAUUGAGUCAGAUGUGAAAUCCCCGGGCUUAACCCGGGAAUUGCAUCUGAUACUGGUCAGCUAGAGUCUUGUAGAGGGGGGUAGAAUUCCAUGUGUAGCGGUGAAAUGCGUAGAGAUGUGGAGGAAUACCGGUGGCGAAGACGGCCCCCUGGACAAAGACUGACGCUCAGGUGCGAAAGCGUGGGGAGCAAACAGG